GAGACGCAGGCUUCGGGCUGGGUGUGCGGAGGGGACACCUGGAACCGGAACGCGGGGGCCGGGGCUCCGACGCCCGUGUCCCAAGGGGCUCCGGAGGAUGGAUGGAACUCCUAGGUCCCCGGGGAGGGUGUACUGGGCUAGGGGCUGCAGAAUUCUGCGUCUUGGGCGAGUAAGGACCACGGAGCAGCAACUGUCCAUCCCAUCCAUUCACAUACUUGUCCAUUCCUCCCCAUCCCUCUUUUUCCCCCGUGCCUCAGUUUACCCCUCCUCACCAGGUACGGAUGCGCUCACCUCACUUUCCGGAUGCGGGACCUUCAGGGAAUCGGGGGUGGCAGCGUGGGGGCCAGCCAGGGUGCGCACCGGCCCCAGUGCAGAUGUGGCUUGGAGAGGCGCCUCCCCCACCCCACCUGGAGGAGACCCCACUUUCUUCCUCCCACAGACCCUUGUAGCCCCCGUGAUGCCCCCUAAACCCAAUAAUGGUUCGGUCCUCAGUCACAUAAAUGUUUAUUCUCCGAGACAGGGUCCCAGUUGUGACAUUUGUUCCCCCUCCUUUUCCCGCUUCGUGAAGUGGCCCGGGGCCCAGCCCCACCUCCACCUUUCUCUAAACCAAUUCCCACCCAGCAUCAAGGAAUUUCAUUUGCAUUUCCGGGACCAGCUGCCCAAUCGGAAGACAGAACCACGCCUCCUCUCCCACGGGGGCGGUUCUCCUGGCGGACUGCACCACUCUUGGGAUCCAUGGAUGAAGGAAAAGUCAUCCAUCAACGUCUGGGUGACAAGGAGGGCAAAGGAGAUGAGGAAGUGAAGAAGCCCUAUCUCCGGAAUAGAGAAUCUGAGGAGCACCUCUUCAUCUUGAUCUCCCUUAUUCUGACAGCAUCGCUUCUCCAGUCAACUACUUCUUUUUCCUGUUUUCCAGGUGACC
rnacentral:lncRNA from 1 species